UCUUAUCCACUCCAACGGUCAUAUUAUUUAAGGGCAUUAGUGUCAAAUCAUGUCGGGAUGCUCCCAGGCUAUAAAUAGCCGCCCCCCACAACCACUAGCUGGUUGGCUGCUCCGGUAGAAACUGACACUUGACAUAAGAGCAACCCAAAUUCCUCAGAGCCUUCGGGAGUAAAUCAUCAGUGAGGAAAUACACCACCCACCGAAACCACAAACCAAACCUAGUGAUUGAGCAGCACUGAAGAAGUUGUUCCUGUGUGGGACUGAAGCCUUUUACCUUUGAGGAUUGUGCAUCCUCCAGACGGUUAGGCGUCAUGGUCUAGAGCAAUCCAUCAGUCAAUUGUGGAUCGCCGGGUGACCGAGUUUGUGAGGGUUUGGAAGUCUGCCCUGAAGACUUACCACGAGUGUUGGGCGAGGACUGUGUGUCCUUAGCUCAAGGAGAAUACGGUAGGGACUGUGUGUCCCGGGACUGGGUGUCCUUUGGUUUCAAUACCAAGCCGCUCCAAACCAGAUGUACAACUGUCACAGCAGUUGGAACUGGGUCAUCAACAACUGUCUUCACGAAGAAUCGGAUUCUAAUUCCUCAACUCUUUACUUUCUCUGUAUUAUGUGUUGAUGACUUUCACUGUGACUGUUUGAAGAAUUUGCUGAAGACUUUCUCUGAAUUUCCUCAACCCCAAAUUCUUCACUUAAGUUAAUCAUCAUCUGUAUUCUGCGUGCCUGCUUACUGUGCAAUCUGUUUUCACAACCUUCACUCUGUAAUACUGUUGUUGAGAACGUUUGCACGUCUGAUCCUUAACUGUUUCCACUGUAAGUUAGUCAUUAGUGAGGAAUUUCCUCAAAAGGAAUUUCCUCAGUGAUGAAAUUCUAAAAAUCUCCUAUUCACCCCCCCCUCUAGUCGAUAUAACGCACUUUCACAAGUAUCGGUAUCCCCAAGUAUGUGAUCGAAAACUGGUCCAACCUGCAUCUGAAUAGUUCAGCAUAUAGGUGGGCGUGGUCUUGAGCAUCGCCAGAGCAAAAUAAUUGACUUCUGUGACAAUUGAUCUUAAGACGUGAGAGUUAUUCGAAUGCUAAUAAAAUCAGUUUCAUAUUUCUCGCUUUCUCGAGGUCCCACUACUACAAAACCCAUGCAAAAAUUUCUUUUGAAUUUUUUCCUUUUCCUUUUUCUAUGUAUUAUGUCACUUCUAUGUAUUAUGUCACUUGACUUAGAUUUUUUCUAAGUCGACUCGGACCUAACCACACAUUUUAUUGAGAAAUUUGCACGCGUAUACUACAAGUUGCUUAGAAAAUAUGAGAGGGGUAUUCACAAAUGAUGGGGGUAUUAGGGCAUCUCCAACACUGGCCCGCAAAUAUGUUCCGGCAUCCGUCCGCGGAUGAGAGGGGGGCAGUGUAACGCCCAAGAUGCGACCCUAUCCUUAUUUUCGCGCGAGGGCCUCGACGGGGAUAGAAGCCCAUCUCAUCGUUUCGCGAGAAUGGAUAUUGUUACAAGUACAUGUACUAAAGAGAAGAGUAUAUGGAAUUGGCUUACACUCCCACAAGCUACAUCAGAGUCACAUCAGUACAAUACAUAAAUAUCACAAGGAAGAGCAAGUCUGACUACGGACGAAAACGAACGAGAAAAGAACGACGUCCAUCCUUGCUAUCCCAGGCUGCCGGCCUGGAACCCAUCCUAGAUCGACGAAGAGGAAGAAGAAGAAACUCCAAAUGAACAAUCAUCGCGCUCACGUCUUAAUAUCACUUUACAUGUACCUGCAACUGGUGUUGUAGUAAUCUGUGAGCCACACGGGGACUCAGCAAUCUCAUUUCCAAAGGUAUCAAGACUAGCAAAGCUUAAUGGGUGAGGUAAGGUUAAAUGGCGAGGCUGCAGCAAGCAACUAAGCAUUUAUUUGGUGGCUAACUUACGAGUACAAGAUUAAAACAGGGGAAAGAUCUACGUAUAACGGACAUGUACUAAUACUGAUCAAAUGAAUGAUCCUGAACACCUACUUACGUCAAACAUAACCCCACUGUGUCCUCGAUCGAAGAAGGAGCUCACGAAAGAGACAGUCACGGUUAUGCACUCAGUUGGCAUAUUUUAAUUAAGCUUACUUCGAGUUAUCUAGAACCGGAUGUUAAACAAAGUUUCCACGUUGUCACAUAACCGCGGGCACGGCUUUCCGAAAGAUUUAACCCUGCAGGGGUGCUCCAACUAGUCCAUCAUAAAUUACCACAGGCCGCAUAGAAAGCUUCGGUCACGAAACUCGUGACUUCGUCGGAUUCCUUAGUGGAAAACCUCAACUCUGAGAUUACCCAAAACAUCACCGGAAUCCCGAUGCACAAGACAUUCGUCAAAGGUAAAACUAAUCCAGCAAGGCCGCCCGACGUGUCGACGAUCCCGAUAGGAGCCGCGUAUCUCGUUCUCAGGACAGGACGGAUGGGUAGGACGUCGGGUUGGCUAAACCCUGGGUGACUAGGGGGCGUCGUACAUCGCCCGGUUUGGACCAACACUCAUGCGGAGCACUGGCCCGGGGGUUGAUUAAUUACUCUGCGGGUGCCGGCGGGUCCCUAUGCAUUUUAUUAGGUUAUUAGGAAAAUGUAGUACCAAAGUUGGGCCUUGCCAGACCAGUUUUAAUCUAAGAGGAAUUAUCAAGGGUGUCCCCAUAACAACCCCGACUGUGUUAGGAGCGCUCAAUUAUGGAACAUAACACCGGUAGCCGAAACUAAGGCGGCAAAGGUGGAACAAAACACCAGGCUAGAAAGGCCGAGCCUUCCACCUUUUACCAAGUAUAUAGGUGCAUUAAAUUAAUUAGCAAUUAAUAGGGUGAUAUGACAAGGAACCCAUGUUAUCACAUGGAAGCAACUGCACCUGCAACUAGCAAUGCUAACACAUGGUUAAGCAAGCAGUAACAUAGCCAAUCAGUGGUUUGCUAGGUUGUGAACAGGUUGAAGGUUUUCAUGGCAAUGUUGGGAGGCUGAUAUUUAACAUGUGGUAGGCAGCAAGACAUAGCGAUAGAAACGAAACAACUAGCAUGGCAAUGAUAGUAAUGGUAUGUGGGGAAAUGGUCAUCUUGCCUGAGAUCCCGCUUGGAAGAAGAACGACUCCGUGAAGCAGACGAACCAAUGUAGUCGAACGGGUCCUCACUUUCCGACACGCUUGCAGAACUCUAUUGAGACGAAGCAAACCGGGAACAAGCAUCAACACAGAUAUUCACCACGGCACAUGCACGACAAGAUGCAAUCCACAUAUGAUGCAUGAUCAGUUUGAAUAUAUGUAAGAC
rnacentral:lncRNA from 1 species